UGAGAUUCAUGCCAAUGUAGAGUACCUCUAUCAGAAAGGUGACAUCAACCAACCAAGCAACUUCCUGGCUGCGAUACUGGCAGUUAGUGGUCCUACAACCACUACAGCUUCCCCUGUGAUUGCCACAACGAAUUCUCCAGCAGUGACCACCACAGCAGCUCCACGUACAGUUGUGGGUCCAGUGUUUAUCUUUGUCCGACUUGUGUUCCACACCAACAACACCGUCCCCAGUGAGAGUGACGUUCUAGCAAAGGGCAGUCCUUUCUUGAAUGGUGAUGAAAUCCGGCUGAAUGAUACCGUGAGGGUGCAGAAUCUCACAUAUGAGCGAUUAACAGAUCAUUCCUUCGCUUUGAGCCUGGCCUACAAGAUCAAUGACGUGAGCUUUCCAGAGAAUGUGGAACUCAGGACGAAGACG